rnacentral:pre_miRNA from 1 species
GUAUCUUGAUAAUUAUUUGUCCUUGUUACAUUGGUGUUUUAUGUUUCAUGUAACAAGGACAAAUAAUUAUCAAGAUAC